CUAUGAAGGCAGCAUGGUUGUGUGCACAGAGAUGGAGGCUUAAGGUCGGCAUGUCUGCCCUCUCUGAUUCGUUUCUUGUGAUUUGGGGGCCUGGUUUAGACCUACAUCU